rnacentral:rRNA from 1 species
CGGCGACGGGUGAGUAAUGCUUCGGAAUCUACCCAAUGGUGGGGAAUAACCAGCCGAAAGGUUGGCUAAUACCGCAUAAGUCCUACGGGAGAAAGCAGGGGAUCGUAAGACCUUGCGCCGAUGGAUGAGCCGAAGCCGGAUUAGCUAGUUGGUAGGGUAACGGCCUACCAAGGCGACGAUCCGUAGCUGGUCUGAGAGGACGACCAGCCACACUGGGACUGAGACACGGCCCAG